rnacentral:rRNA from 1 species
GUGCACGCUGGCGGUAGGCCUAACACAUGCAAGUCGCACGGCAGCACAGUAAGAGCUUGCUCUUACGGGUGGCGAGUGGCGGACGGGUGAGGAAUACAUCGGAAUCUACUUUUUCGUGGGGGAUAACGUAGGGAAACUUACGCUAAUACCGCAUACGACCUACGGGUGAAAGCAGGGGAUCUUCGGACCUUGCGCGAUUGAAUGAGCCGAUGUCGGAUUAGCUAGUUGGCGGGGUAAAGGCCCACCAAGGCGACGAUCCGUAGCUGGUCUGAGAGGAUGAUCAGCCACACUGGAACUGAGACACGGUCCAGACUCCUACGGGAGGCAGCAGUGGGGAAUAUUGGACAAUGGGCGCAAGCCUGGUCCAGCCAUACCGCGUGGGUGAAGAAGGCCUUCGGGUUGUAAAGCCCUUUUGUUGGGAAAGAAAAGCAGCAGGUUAAUACCCCGCUGUUCUGACGGUACCCAAAGAAUAAGCACCGGCUAACUUCGUG